UACGGAGGGGGCAAGCGUUGUUCGGAAUUACUGGGCGUAAAGGGCUCGUAGGUGGCCAACUAAGCCAGACGUGAAAUCCCUCGGCCUAACCGGGGAACUGCGUCUGAUACUGGAUGGCUUGAGUUCGGGAGAGGGAUGCGGAAUUCCAGGUGUAGCGGUGAAAUGCGUAGAUAUCUGGAGGAACACCGGUGGCGAAGGCGGCAUCCUGGACCGACACUGACGCUGAGGAGCGAAAGCCAGGGGAGCAAACGGG
rnacentral:rRNA from 1 species